rnacentral:tRNA from 1 species
GCGGAUAUGGCGGAAUUGGUAGACGCAAGGGACUUAAAAUCCCUCGGGGGCGACCCCGUGCCGGUUCGAGUCCGGCUAUCCGCA